GAACGCUAGCGGCAGGCUUAACACAUGCAAGUCGAGGGGUAUAGUUCUUCGGAAUUAGAGACCGGCGCACGGGUGCGUAACGCGUAUGCAAUCUACCUUUCACAGAGGGAUAGCCCAGAGAAAUUUGGAUUAAUACCUCAUAGUAUAGCAGUUUCGCAUGAAACCACUAUUAAAGUCACAACGGUGAAAGAUGAGCAUGCGUCCCAUUAGCUAGUUGGUAAGGUAACGGCUUACCAAGGCAACGAUGGGUAGGGGUCCUGAGAGGGAGAUCCCCCACACUGGUACUGAGACACGGACCAGACUCCUACGGGAGGCAGCAGUGAGGAAUAUUGGACAAUGGGCGCAAGCCUGAUCCAGCCAUGCCGCGUGCAGGAUGACGGUCCUAUGGAUUGUAAACUGCUUUAUACAGGAAGAAACACUCCGACGUGUCGGAGCUUGACGGUACUGUAAGAAUAAGGAUCGGCUAACUCCGUG
rnacentral:rRNA from 1 species